AUAGAUACGAUAAUACUUAGGGUGAAUGGCGCCAUAUCCCCACGCUCGCCUAUGAAUUAUCUUGAUUUUGAGAUAUAUGGAUGUUGUGUGUAGUGAAGAAAGAAAAACGUAGGAAUCAGAGGUUGAUUCGCCGUUGAUUCGACAACUUGAAAAAGUUAUGAGUUAGCGAAUCAGAGAUUUGGAUUUGAAUCGCAAGAAUCCAGAUUUGGAAUUUCUGAGUUUUCCCGAUGUCGUUCGAGAAGCAAAGAUGAUUACGUGAAAAUCUUAGGAAU
rnacentral:lncRNA from 1 species